CCUACGGGUGGCAGCAGUGGGGAAUAUUGCACAAUGGGGGAAACCCUGAUGCAGCGACGCCGCGUGAGUGAAGAAGUAUCUCGGUACGUAAAGCUCUAUCAGCAGGGAAGAAAGACAUGACGGUACCUGAAUACGAAGCCCCGGCUAACUACGUGCCAGCAGCCGCGGUAAUACGUAGGGGGCAAGAGUUCUCCGGAAUUACUGGGUGUAAAGGGAGCGUAGACGGUAAUGCAAGUCUGGAGUGAAAGGCGGGGGCCCAACCCCCGGACUGCUCUGGAAACUGUGUAACUGGAGGGCAGGAGAGGCAGGCGGAAUUCCUAGUGUAGCGGUGAAAUGCGUAGAUAGUAGGAGGAACACCAGUGGCGAAGGCGGCCUGCUGGACUGUAACUGACGUUGAGGCGCGAAAGCGUGGGGAGCAAACAGGAUUAGAUACCCGAGUAGUC
rnacentral:rRNA from 1 species